GGAGUCCCAGGAAGGCUAGACUUGGUGUCUCGGGAGCUCAGAGGGGCUGGGGGUGAGGUGACAGCACCAGCCAGGGGCCGAGGCCCUGGUUCAGGCGAGAGAGGGGGUCUGGCAGGUGCAGCAGGACAGGCCGCUUGGAGGAGCAGGCACGGGGGCAGCAAAGACCCCUGCUGUGGGGCGAGGUCGGGGCGGGGGGGGAGCCCCACCUCUGGCACUGCGUGCCGCUCGGGAGGAGCCCGGGGCCUUGGGGUCACGGCCCAGUCCUGACCUACGAGGGACCCAUUGAGCCUGGCCUCAUCCUAAAGGGUGGAAUUCAUCCGAACUGUGUUCCCAGAGCCUCCAGUAUCACAGAACCAGACCUUCCGGGCCUCUGAUCAGCACCCAAGGCCGGGAGGGCCAACGCUGCCUUUCAAAGCCCCCGUGGAUGUGGGUGUGAGGGACACAGGGGCGAGGCGGGCUCCCCGGCCCCCAGCUCGGAGCACUCACCGCAGCCAUGAGGCCCCCGGCCCCUCUCACAGUGGCUGCAGCGCUCAGCACGGCCCCCAGGGUCAGGAGUGCAGCCAGGACGAUUCCAGCGAAGAAGGCUGGGGGCAGAGCCUCUGGUGAUCUCUCCUGAGGCCAAGACCCCCAGGGGUGGGGUUGGAGGCACAUGAUGCCAUCUCUCUGAGCUGCUCAAGGCCUCAGCGUGGGUGAGCACACCUUCCUGGACGUGGAGGACGGGGCCUGGAUACCCCCCGACAUACCCAUGCUGCCCCAGGGGCCCAGGAAGAUCCAGGUUCUCCUGUCUGCGGACACGUGGCCGAUGACAGCAAAGUGGGGCCCGAAGUAGCUGAGCGCGGCCGUGGCAGCCAUGGCGGAGCCCAGGAGCUGUGGGCAGGCACGUCCAGCUGGUGGGCACGGGGCUGGGCACCAACACCCACCACCCAUCUUCGCAUCCUGGUCUCACGAGACACAGGGUCAGCUGCAGAGCUUCCAGGUUUCUGGGGGUGGCCUCAGCGGGGCCUUUGCUGCAGACACCUACCCCCACACCCUCACACACAGACAUCCCACACGGAGACACCCCACCACACACACACAGACACCCCAUCACACAGAGACACCCCACUACACAUGCAGACACCCCAC